rnacentral:rRNA from 1 species
UACGUAGGGGGCAAGCGUUGUCCGGAUUUAUUGGGCGUAAAGAGCGUGUAGGCGGCCAGGCAAGUCCGUUGUGAAAACUAGAGGCUUAACCUCUAGACGUCGAUGGAAACUGUUUGGCUAGAGUCCGGAAGAGGAGAAUGGAAUUCCUGGUGUAGCGGUGAAAUGCGCAGAUAUCAGGAGGAACACCCGUGGCGAAAGCGGCUCUCUGGGACGGUACUGACGCUGAGACGCGAAAGCGUGGGGAGCAAACAGG